rnacentral:rRNA from 1 species
AUACGGAGGAUCCGAGCGUUAUCCGGAUUUAUUGGGUUUAAAGGGUGCGCAGGCGGCCAUUUAAGUCAGCGGUUAAAUCGUGGGGCUCAACCCCAUUCUGCCGUUGAUACUGGGUGGCUUGAUUGCGGUCGAGGUUGGCGGAAUUCGUAGUGUAGCGGUGAAAUGCAUAGAUAUGACGAAGAACACCGAUUGCGUAGGCAGCUGACCAGACCGCAAAUGACGCUCAUGCACGAAAGUGCGGGGAUCGAACAGGAUUAGAUACCCUGGUAGUCCGCACAGUAAACGAUGAAUACUUGUUUUCGGCGAUAUAAUGUCGGAGGCAAAGCGAAAGCGAUAAGUAUUCCACCUGGGGAGUACGCCGGUAACGGUGAAACUCAAAUGAAUUGACGGGG